CCCUUAGAUGUUCUGGGCUGCACGCGCGCUACACUGAUACUUUCAGCGAGUCCACCACCUUGCCUGGGAGGGUGGGGUAACCUCUGGAAAGUGCAUCGUGAUGGGGAUCGAUUAUUGUAAUUAUUAAUCUUCAACGAGGAAUUCCUAGUAAGCAUGUGUCAUCAGCCCGUGCUGAUUACGUCCCUGCCCUUUGUACACACCGCCCGUCGCUCCUACCGAUUGAGUGGUCCGGUGAAAUCUUCGGAUUGAGACUUUGAUUUCUUCACGGAAAACGUUGUUUUAUAAAGUUGAUUAAACCUUACCAUUUAGAGGAAGGUGAAGUCGUAACA
rnacentral:rRNA from 1 species